rfam:Schistosoma rodhaini strain Burundi genome assembly, scaffold: SROB_scaffold0001237
GCACUUCUGAAGAGUUCCACAAUAGGACGAAACGGCUUUCUAGUGU